GACGAACGCUGGCGGCGUGCUUAACACAUGCAAGUCGAACGGUAAGGCCCUUCGGGGUACACGAGUGGCGAACGGGUGAGUAACACGUGGGUGAUCUGCCCUGCACUUCGGGAUAAGACUGGGAAACUGGGUCUAAUACCGGAUAGGACCACUGCCUGCAUGGGUGGGGGUGGAAAGCUUUUGCGGUGUGGGAUGGGCCCGCGGCCUAUCAGCUUGUUGGUGGGGUGAUGGCCUAUCAAGGCGACGACGGGUAGCCGGCCUGAGAGGGUGACCGGCCACACUGGUACUGAGAUACGGCCCAGACUCCUACGGGAGGCAGCAGUGGGGAAUAUUGCACAAUGGGCGCAAGCCUGAUGCAGCGACGCCGCGUGAGGGAUGACGGCCUUCGGGUUGUAAACCUCUUUCAGCACCGACGAAGCGCAAGUGACGGUAGGUGCAGAAGAAGGACCGGCCAACUACGUGCCAGCAGCCGCAGUAA
rnacentral:rRNA from 1 species